rnacentral:rRNA from 1 species
UACGUAGGGUGCAAGCGUUGUCCGGAGUUACUGGGCGUAAAGCGCGCGCAGGCGGCGGUGUUGGCCCGGCGUGAAAGCCCCCGGCUCAACCGGGGAGAGUCGUCGGGGACCGCACCGCUUGAGGGCGGUAGGGGCUGGUGGAAUGCCUGGUGUAGUGGUGAAAUGCGUAGAGAUCAGGCAGAACACCUGGGGCGAAGGCGGCCAGCUGGGCCGUCCCUGACGCUGAGGCGCGAAGGCGUGGGGAGCGAACGGG